rnacentral:rRNA from 1 species
UACGUAGGGUGCAAGCGUUGUCCGGAAUUAUUGGGCGUAAAGAGCUCGUAGGCGGUUUGUCGCGUCUGCUGUGAAAACUCGGGGCUUAACCCCGGGCCUGCAGUGGGUACGGGCAGACUAGAGUGCGGUAGGGGAGACUGGAAUUCCUGGUGUAGCGGUGAAAUGCGCAGAUAUCAGGAGGAACACCGGUGGCGAAGGCGGGUCUCUGGGCCGUAACUGACGCUGAGGAGCGAAAGCGUGGGUAGCAAACAGG